UACUCCCGCCGGCGACCGGCGCACGGGUGAGUAACACGUAUGAAACCUGCCCGUAGCAGGGGGAUAAGCGGAAGAAAUUCCGUCUAAUACCGCGUAACAACCCGAGGAGGCAUCUCCUCGGGUUUAAAGGAAGCGAUUCCGGCUACGGAUGGUCAUGCGUCGCAUUAGCUAGUUGGCGGGGUAACGGCCCACCAAGGCGACGAUGCGUAGGGGUUCUGAGAGGAAGGUCCCCCACACUGGUACUGAGACACGGGCCAGACUCCUACGGAAGGCAGCAG
rnacentral:rRNA from 1 species